GCAAGUGUGGCCGAGUUGGUUAAGGCGCCAGAUUCAAGCAUCCACACUUGAUAUCCGUCAACGGAAAUCCUGGUAACGAAAGUUGCAUGGGUUCGAAUCCCAUCGCUUGCA
rfam:Penicillium arizonense strain CBS 141311 PENARI_contig023, whole genome shotgun sequence.